rnacentral:rRNA from 1 species
ACGUAGGUGGCGAGCGUUAUCCGGACUCAUUGGGCGUAAAGAGCUUGUAGGCGGCGUCAUAAGUUGGACGUGAAAACUCCGGGCUUAACUUGGAGAGGCCGUUCAAUACUGUGAGGCUAGAGGGUGUCAGAGGGAAGUAGAAUUCCUGGUGUAGCAGUGAAAUGCGUAGAUAUCAGGAGGAAUACCGAUGGCGAAGGCAGCCCCCUGGGAUACACUGACGCUCAUGCACGAAAGCGUGGGGAGCAAACAGGA